rnacentral:rRNA from 1 species
GACGAACGCUGGCGGCGUGCUUAACACAUGCAAGUCGAACGGAAAGGCCCUGCCUUUGUGGGGUGCUCGAGUGGCGAACGGGUGAGUAACACGUGGGUAACCUGCCCUUUACUUUGGGAUAACUUCAGGAAACUGGGGCUAAUACCGGAUAGAAGCUCCUGCUGCAUGGUGGGGGUUGGAAAGUUUCGGCGGUCGGGGAUGGACUCGCGGCUUAUCGGCUCGUUGGUGGGGUAGUGGCUUACCAAGGCUUUGACGGGUAGACGGCCUGGGAGGGUGACCGGCCACCAGGGUCCUACGGUAGGCCCCAGACUGCUACGUGAGGCAACGGUGGGAAGUAUUGCACAGUGGGCCGGAGCGUGAUGCGACGGCGCCCGGUGCGGAAUGCCGUCCUUCGGGUUAAAAACCACUUUCGCCUGUAACGAAGCGUGAGUGACGGUAAUGAGUAAGAAAGCACCGGCUAACUACGUG